rnacentral:lncRNA from 1 species
CCCGCCCGCCCCCCGGAUCACGGGCUUCGGCCACGCCCUCUUCCCGUCACGUGACGGUGCGCGGAGGCGGUGGUGGAGUUGCUUCCCCUGCUAGGCGGGCUCGAACCGGGCGGGAGUCACUGUCCACCUUGCUUCGCCAGGGUGUUAUCGCCAGCCAGUCCCCUUCCGCAUGCCCAAGGGCAGCCUCAGGAAGCGAGCCCACCACCGUCGGCCCAGCGCCUGUUGAUCGGCCAGGCCUUCUGGGCCGGUCAUACUGGGCCCUUCCUAACCUGAGGAGAUUGCACAGUAGGGCUCCCUGGUCUGGUCAGGGCUCAGUUAGGACCCCUCUCCAGCCUUAGGCUUGGUGAAAGCUUUAGCGAAACAGAAAAAAGAACGCAUCGUGGUGUAGAGUGUAUGGCCUAAGAAGCAUUCGCUCCACUCAAAAAAAAGAAAGUCCUAAUGCAAGUAAUUGAAAGUGAAGAUAUUGCAAAACAAAUAAUGACAGCUGAAUUGAUGAUAUGAUGACAGGCUCAUCCCUCCAUUGUAAACUAUGAAACAAGUUGUCAUGUUAUGAACUGCCUAUCGGAGAGGACCAUGUGGCAAAGAACUCAGAGGUGGCUUGUAGAAGCUGAGAGCCAACAGAAACAAAACAAAACAAAAUCUUGAAGCUCUCAGUCCUGUGACUGUAAGGAAAUGAAUUCUCCCAACAACUUGAGAGAGUUUGGAAGAAGAUUCUUCUUUCUUCAGGCUUUCAGAUGGGAACAUGGUCCAACCAACACCUUCACUGUAGCCUGGAGAGACCCCAAAGUAGAAAACCCAACUAAGGUGUAUCUGGACUCCUGACCUACAGAAAGAGAGAUAGUAAAUGUGUGUUAUUUUAAUGUGUUCAACUUGUGUUAAUUUGUUACAUCGAAUUGGAAAACUAAUAGAGAUUUUGGUGCCUAGAGGUAGAAUGCUACUGUAAUAAAUAUGUAAAAAUAUGUCUGUGGCUUUGAAACUGAUCAGUGGACAGAGACUAGAAGAAUGCUUGAAAAGUAUGAUAGACAAAUCCCAAAUCACUGCGAACAAACUCUCAGUAGAAAUGUGGAUAUUGAAGACUGCUGUUGAGGACUCAGAAGGAAGUAAGGAACAUGCUAUAGGAAACUGGAAGAAGGGAGAUCCUUGUUAUGUACUGGCGUAAAGCUUAGUGAAAUUAUUUCUUGCAAUUACGUUGAAAGCAGAACUUGUAAAUGGAUGAAUUUGGUUAUAUAGUUAAGGAGAUUUCCAAGCAAAGUGUUGAAGGGGACAACUGGUUUCUUCUUGCUACUUACAGGAAAAUUCAAGAAAAGAGACAAAUUGAGAGAAGAACUAUUAAGCAAAAAGGAAUCAGGACUUGAUAAUUUAAAAAAUCCUCAUCUUCCCCAGAUGGCAAAAAAUAUUAACAGUUGGAGAUGGCUUUUGGGCACUGUCAGAAAAGCCUACUCUAGAGAAAAUGCACUUGAAGUUACUCUAUAAUCUUUUUUAAAGCCCCCAAAAGAUCAAAGGUCAGAGUACUCAGGGGUAUUUCAAGAUACGGCCCUUAGAUUUGAAAAGAUCUAAGGGUAUGCCUCAGAUCCUCUCAAUCACACUAUUGAGCCUCUAGGAAGCUUAAAGGAGAUGGAAUUAUUUUUGAAACAAUCUGUAGAUGUGGCCUUUGUCUGAUAAGAGUGAAUGCCACUGAAAUACAGAAAGAACCACAACAUUCUUGAGAAAAUUAUUUCUGCAGAAACAGUGCCAACUUGGAAUAAGACAGACAGAAAGACUAGAAAAUGAAAAGAGGCUGUCAGACCUCCAAAAUUUUACUGGCAGAAAGCAGGCUGAUAAAACUACUCAUCUGCAAACACAUGCUACCUUCCAUGAAAAAGGAAGAAUGACUCAGAUGGUGGAACCAAGAACCCAGAAAGCAGAGCCAAGAGCCAUGAAGAAUCAUUCCCAAGCCUAGAAACUUAAUUAAGGAACUUCCAAUAAAUCCAGUUGUAUUUCAAAACUGCUAUAGACUAGUGACUCCUUUUUACUACCCAUUUCCCCUAUUUUUAAACUGGAAUGUCUAUAGCUAUUAUCCUGUGUCUGUCCCACCAUUGUAUGUUGGGUGUGUUGGAGGCAGAUAACUCAUUUCCUUGGUUUCAGAGGUCCAUAGUUAGAGAAUAAUUGUGUCCAGGAGCUUUACUUAACAGGUUAUACGUAGGAGGCUCAUCUGCACCUGGACUUGAUUCACAUGAUGAAAUUUUAGAAUUUGAGCUGAUGCUAUAAUGAAUGAAACUCUUGGGAACUGAUAUGGUUUGUCUCUGUGUCCCCACCCAAAUCUCAUCUUGAAUUG